rnacentral:lncRNA from 1 species
CCCCACCACCGGGCGCGUCGCCGGCAUCUCCCUCCGCGACGAGUCGGAGGACCGCAUCAUUUCCCGCUCCGGCCGAUCCCGUGGCCUCAUGUACGGUCGCAUUUCGCCGGAGAUCUGCCGCCUGGACCGUCUCACCACUCUCAUCCUCGCCGACUGGAAGCAGAUCUCCGGGCCCAUUCCUCCCUGCCUCACCUCCCUCUCCUUUCUCAGCAUCCUUGACCUCGUGGGCAACCGCCUGUCCGGCCCCAUCCCCAACGACAUUGGCAACCUCUCCCGCCUCACCGUCCUCAACGUCGCUAACAACCAG